CAGUAGCCACGGGAAUACGAAGGGUGCAAGCGUUACUCGGAAUUACUGGGCGUAAAGCGUGCGUAGGUGGUGGUUUAAGUCCGUUGUGAAAGCCCUGGGCUCAACCUGGGAAUUGCAGUGGAUACUGGAUCACUAGAGUGUGGUAGAGGAUAGUGGAAUUUCCGGUGUAGCAGUGAAAUGCGUAGAGAUCGGAAGGAACAUCUGUGGCGAAGGCGACUAUCUGGGCCAACGCUGACGCUGAGGUGCGAAAGCGUGGGGAGCAAACAGGAUUAGAUACCCCCGUAGUCCCUGUCUCUUAUAC
rnacentral:rRNA from 1 species